UGCCGGAUGGGGUAACGGUAGCCCACGUGACUCUGGAUCACGGUGUCUAGGUUCGAAUCCUAGUCCGGCAGCCA
rnacentral:tRNA from 1 species